UCUUCCUCCCACGGCUGCCCACCACUCCCCCUCGAACCCCACUCCUCCACCAUGAUACCCCACCCCACCACCACCUGCCUCCAGCACCGCCGUUGUCCACCACCUGCUUGGCAGCCGGCGACCACGAGGAUGGCCCCCGACCACCGCGGCACCCACCCACCUCCUCCUCUCACUCCAGGUCCGCGUGCGCCUCCCUCCCCAAACCAUAGUGCCCUGCCUCCUCCUCCAGGUUGUCGCCGACCUGCCUCCUCCUCCCACCGGCCGGCGCGGCCCCGCCUCCUCCUCCCAACGACCGGCCCCGCCUGCUCCCCCCUGCCACCUACCGCCGCCGAGCCGCCGCCCAUCCUGCCACUCAGGCACCCUCCCGCGGCCUCGCAGAUCUGACCAUAUCCGGAUCCGGCCGCCACGCCCCUCUCCCUGCCGACUGGCACUUGAUGCGGCCACCGCGCCCCUCUCCCUGCCGAACGGCACCUGAUCCGGCCGCCGCGCCCCUCUCCUUCUUCCUUCCCGGCCGGUCGCUGCUCCCCACGCUGCCGUGCUGAACGGCCAGAGCAACACCAUAGGAGCUGCCAUGGCCAUCUCAAGCUUGCUUGUCGCCGCCGCUCUGGAUCCGGCCACCGUCAGCCAGAUCCACUCCAGCGCGCUGCUAGAAACUGGGUAGAAUAGACCCCGCCGCGUGCAGUUUGCCUGGGUCCCUCAUGCGGUGCGAUGCAUCGGUUGCAGUUCGGGGCCCUUUUUUCGGAUUUUGCUUGUGCAAAAGCACUGCAGUAUGCAUGAGUCCUCGGUGCAGCGAGGCUGGGUGUUCUGCCGCAGUUUCUUUUUGUUGAUUUUCCCAAUUUUCAAAGAUGUUGUACUGCAAAAAAAGGAACUACUCGCGCAAAAGGAAGGCACAGUUCCCUUCUGUGUUGGGAGGACCCUCGAGCAAGCUGAUCAACGACAGGUUCGUGUGCAUGCUGGUGACCCGACGGGAGCUCGUGGUUCAAUUCAGAGCCGUGUGUGCUUCAUUGUGCACACUUGCGGUAGGAGGACACAAAAUUGAAUGAAGUUCGCUCGUCUUGUCCUUGCAGAGCACAUGUGCAGUACAGAGCAGAUGUGAAACAACCAUAUAAAACAAAAACAUGCAGUUUACUUAGUUGUCUCGAGCAGUCCCCUUUCA